rnacentral:rRNA from 1 species
GUAGGUGGCGAGCGUUGUCCGGAAUUAUUGGGCGUAAAGCGCGCGCAGGGCGGUCCUUUAAGUCUGAUGUGAAAGCCCACGGCUCAACCGUGGAGGGUCAUUGGAAACUGGGGGACUUGAGUACAGAAGAGGAAAGCGGAAUUCCAAGUGUAGCGGUGAAAUGCGUAGAGAUUUGGAGGAACACCAGUGGCGAAGGCGGCUUUCUGGUCUGUAACUGACGCUGAGGCGCGAAAGCGUGGGGAGCAAACAGGAUUAGAUACCCUGGUAGUCCACGCCGUAAACGAUGAGUGCUAAGUGUUAGGGGGUUUCCGCCCCUUAGUGCUGCAGCUAACGCAUUAAGCACUCCGCCUGGGGAGUACGGCCGCAAGGCUG